AACGAACGCUGGCGGCAUGCCUAACACAUGCAAGUCGAACGAAGGCUUCGGCCUUAGUGGCGCACGGGUGCGUAACACGUGGGAAUCUGCCCUUUGGUUCGGAAUAACAGCUGGAAACGGCUGCUAAUACCGGAUGAUGACGAAAGUCCAAAGAUUUAUCGCCAGAGGAUGAGCCCGCGUUGGAUUAGGUAGUUGGUGGGGUAAAGGCCUACCAAGCCGACGAUCCAUAGCUGGUCUGAGAGGAUGAUCAGCCACACUGGGACUGAGACACGGCCCAGACUCCUACGGGAGGCAGCAGUGGGGAAUAUUGGACAAUGGGCGCAAGCCUGAUCCAGCAAUGCCGCGUGAGUGAUGAAGGCCCUAGGGUUGUAAAGCUCUUUUACCCGGGAAGAUAAUGACUGUGCCGGGAGAAUAAGCCCCGGCUAACUCCGU
rnacentral:rRNA from 1 species